UACGUAGGGUGCGAGCGUUAAUCGGAAUUACUGGGCGUAAAGCGUGCGCAGGCGGUUCUCCAAGUCCGUUGUGAAAGCCCCGGGCUCAACCUGGGAAUGGCGGUGGAAACUAGGGGACUUGAAUCUGGCAGAGGGGGGUGGAAUUCCACGUGUAGCAGUGAAAUGCGUAGAGAUGUGGAGGAACACCGAUGGCGAAGGCAGCCCCCUGGGCUGAGAUUGACGCUCAGGCACGAAAGCGUGGGGAGCAAACAGG
rnacentral:rRNA from 1 species